rnacentral:rRNA from 1 species
AGAGUUUGAUCAUGGCUCAGAACGAACGCUGGUGGCGUGCUUAACACAUGCAAGUCGAACGAGAAAGUUUCCUUCGGGAAAUUAGUAAAGUGGCGCAAGGGUGAGUAACACGUGAAUAAUCUGCCCUCGAGAUCGGGAUAACAUGGUGAAAACUAUGCUAAUACCGGAUAAGACCACAUUUCAUAAGAAAUGUGGGAAAAGAAGUCUCAACCUUCACUCGAGGAUGAGUUCGCGCAACAUUAGCUUGUUGGUGAGAUAAAAGCUCACCAAGGCUACGAUGUUUAGCCGGCCUGAGAGGGUGAACGGCCACACUGGAACUGAGACACGGUCCAGACUCCUACGGGAGGCAGCAGUGGGGAAUAUUGCGCAAUGGGCGAAAGCCUGACGCAGCAACGCCGUGUGAGCGAUGAAGGCUUUAGGGUUGUAAAGCUCUGUCAAAUGGGAAGAAUUAUGACGGUACCAUUAGAGGAAGCCCCGGCUAACUCCGUGCCAGCAGCCGCGGUAAUACGGAGGGGGCAAGCGUUGUUCGGAAUUAUUGGGCGUAAAGCGUAUGUAGGCGGCUAAGUAAGUCAGGCGUGCAAGCCCGUGGCUCAACCACGGAAUUGCGUUUGAAACUGCUUAGCUUGAGUACAGGAGAGGAAAGCGGAAUUCCCAGUGUAGCGGUGAAAUGCAUUGAUAUUGG